CCUCAGAGAAUGAGCUGAGAGAAGAUAAAUCCUGAUGAUUUAUGGGUUUGGAUCACCUUGAAGAUUCCCAGUGUGGGAGGCUGAUCCCAGGUUUUCGUGGGAUUUAAUAACUCAUUAAACAGCUUGGAAAAAAUGCACUCAGACAACUUAAAAUUAUUUUCCCGAAAUCCCAGCAAGAAAAUGAAACAGAGCCAUCUAUAUCCAAACAUGUAUGCAUUUGGAAUUUUUGGCUUCAGUGGGAUCCAAGAGAACAUUCCCUAAAAGUUUUUUUUCCCUGGGAUGUGUGGGGGAAGGGAAGUGUUAUAAAUGCAACGGCAAAUUAAAGAUUAACAAAGAUUAAUUUAUUAUAAAUUAAUAAAG
rnacentral:lncRNA from 1 species